AAAAUAUUCAAAUUCCUCUUUGAGAGCCAUUCCAUUGUGCAACUCACAACCUCGACAAAUUAAUGCAUAUCGAUUAGAUGGACCAUCCCCAAUGAGAUAAUCAAUUAUUCGAUCCAAAUUAGUCCUUUGCGGCGAUAAUAUUGGACGUGGAUACUAACUAUGAUUCUGAUUUGGAGUAUUGACUAGUUUAUCACUACUCUGAAGAGGAGUAUUUGGUAAAUUGCGAACAGGAGUUAUGCCAGCUGGGGCAGGGCCAGUGUUAGAAGAUACGCAGCUUUGCGCAUUUAAUGCUUGAUUUUGACUUAUUGUUACACGCUUCCUCAGUUCCCCAAAAGGAGAUCUAGCAAAUUUUAUACAUUGUGGUGUACUAGAUUGUUCAGGAAUUUCUAUUGCAGGCUAAAAUGAAAGAUUCUUUUAAUAGAUGCAUUGCCUUCCUUUUCAAACUGUUUUCAUAUAACUAACUGUUUGAGAUAUAAACCUGUAUAUUAUAGACAACUGAAAAAUGAGUUAAAAUAAAGAAAAUUAUAUUAAUACUAUA